rnacentral:rRNA from 1 species
UACGUAGGCAGCAAGCGUUGUUCGGAAUUACUGGGCGUAAAGAGUGUGUAGGCGGUGCUCUAAGUCUGUUGUGAAAUCUCCCGGCUUAACCGGGAGGGUGCGGCGGAAACUGGAGUGCUUGAGGGUGGGAGAGGUAAGCGGAAUUCCUGGUGUAGCGGUGAAAUGCGUAGAUAUCAGGAGGAACACCUGCGGUGUAGACGGCUUACUGGACCACGACUGACGCUGAAACUCGAAAGUGUGGGGAGCAAACAGG